CACGUAGGGCGCAAGCGUUGUCCGGAAUUAUUGGGCGUAAAGAGCUCGUAGGCGGACUGUCACGUCUGCUGUGAAAAGCUGGGGCUUAACCCUGGCCUUGCAGUGGAUACGGGCAGACUAGAGGUAGGUAGGGGAGAAUGGAAUUCCUGGUGUAGCGGUGAAAUGCGCAGAUAUCAGGAGGAACACCGGUGGCGAAGGCGGUUCUCUGGGCCUUACCUGACACUGAGGAGCGAAAGCGUGGGGAGCGAACAGG
rnacentral:rRNA from 1 species